AGGGUCUUACUCUUCCGAAACUAUGUGAGAGCAAGAGCAAUCUCCCCAACAUCACACAUGUAUCUAUUAAUUUCAUGAGUUUAUAUCAUUCUGUAGAGACUCCAUUGGUUCUCCACAAAUGGCUGGUUGAGCUUGCCAAUACUCAAUCAUUGAGCGUCAAUUCACCUACUCUUAAGAUUCUUUCCUUAGUUCCUGACUUGUUGAAGUCUGAACUCCCUUCUCUGGAUAACUUGAAGUCACUUAAAGUAGAAAUGUCGCGCAUAUCCAUACCUGAUGGAAUAGUGAACUUUUUGUGUCGAAAGUCACGAUCAGCAAAGGUUGACAUCAUCGGCAUCUAAUUAAGAAAAGGCGCACGGUGGAGGGUACGAAAGCUAGAGGAAUCUCUGAUGCAGAUGUUUGCCGAGAAAUUAGAGACUCUAUCAAAUAAUUUAACAAUAACAGUUUUUUUUUUUUCCUUCCAAGAGAAACCUUUCUAAUAACUAGAUAGCUUGUUUAAUAUUUAUUUAUUUUCCUAAUUUGUUUCAUUUAUUAUACUUUAGUUAUAUCAGUGCCCUUACAAAGUGUAAUUAGACAAAUGAGCUUUGUG